UACACUUGGACCCAAGCUGGAGCUUGUAAAUAAACCCUAGUGUGUUUGCAUCGGUGUCGGCUCCUUGGUGGUUUCUCGGAUUCGCAAUCUUGGGCACAACAUUUGGGGGCUCGUCCGGGAUCCGAGAGACCCCAGGACCCUAUCCGGAGGGUUUCACGCGUGGUCGGCAUUGGCUUAGGCGGACGCGCUGGCGGGCUGUCGACCCGGGAUCUUGAGGAGACGUCCCUUGCCCCCACCGGGAGGACGGGGUCCUCACCUGUUAAGGCCGUGAUCUUCAGGGACAAACCAGACGGCCACCCUGACCAGGUGCCCAACAUCCUGGUCUGGCAGGACAUGACCGGAAAUUCCCCUCCUUGGCUAAAACUCUUUUUUACCCCCGAAAGCGCACAACUCGGCUGAAGGUAAGGAGAGACCCCGGGUCCACCGCCGGACUCUAGGGCAGGUCUCCAGGCUGCCGCCCGCAGCCGACCAAUCUGGCCGAGGUAUAUGAUGUGAGACAGGGUAAGGACGAGAGUCCAGCAGCCUUCUUAGAGAGAGUCAUAGAGGCUUUUAGGCAGUACACCCCUAUGAACCCAGAAGCCCCGGAAACAAAGACCGCAAUUAUCAUGGCUUUUGUUAACCAGGCUGCUCCGGACAUUAAAAAGAAAUUGCAAAGAGUAGAGACACUGGAAGAGAAGAGCUUGCAGGACGUAGUGAUAGUAGCAGAAUGAGUCUAUAAUAAUAUAAUAAAGAAAGUCCGGAAGAACAACAAACCAAACUAAGUGACCGGCAGACCCGAAACCUGGCCAUGGUCCUGCUGGCCACAACCAUGGACAACCCACGGGAAAGACGGUGGCACCUCAAGAAGCUGGCUUCAGGGACAGGUAAGGAGGAUGGCCCUGGUCCCCCUCAGGAGCGCCCUAAGCUGAACAAAAACCAAUGUGCUUAUUGCAAAGAAGAGGGCCACUGGGUAAAAAGCUGCCCUAACAAAAGAUCUAAGGCCCCUGCCAAGAUCUUGAAAAUGGAGGACCUGGACGACUAGGGGAGUCGGAAUUCAGCACCCCUCCCCGAGCCCAGGGUAACUCUUAAAGUGGAGGGGCAGCCUGUUGAAUUCCUAGUGGACACUGGGGCACAACAUUCGGUUUUAUUACAACCCCAAGGGAAAUUGGCAAACAAGACUUCAUGGGUGCAAGGGGCCACGGGCACCAAACAGUACUCAUGGACUACCCGAAGAACUGGGAAUCUCGGCAUGGGCCAGGUAUCCCACUCCUUCAUGGUCAUCGCUGAGUGUCCCUACGUUGUUAGGUCGGGAUUUGCUCACCAAGAUGGGGGCACAAAUUUGUUUCCACCCCGAAGGGGCAAAAAUCCUAAACAAGGAGGGGCACCCGAUUCAGGUGCUUUUCCUGAGUUCAGAAGACAAAUAUUGUCUCCUCUAAACGCCCUCAGUCCCAAUGACUGACAUGGACUGUUGGCUGCCGGAAUUUCCCGAAGCGUGGGCAGAACCUGAGGGAAUUGGGCUGGCCCGGCACCCACCGGCCAUAACUAAAGCCGGGGGCCGACCAUGUCAGGGUGCGCCAAUACCCCAUGCCUCUCAUCUCCCUAACCCAGACUGGGACCCCCGUCUGCAUGACUGUCAAGAAAUUUUGGCACAGGUGCAUGGAAUCAGAGCUGAUCUCCAGGACCAGCCACUGUAGAAUGCGGACACCACCUGGUACACAGAAGGCAGCCGUUCCAUCUGAGAAGGAAUCGGAUGCGGGGGCUGUAACCAUGGAAACGGAGACCCGAUCGGGGGGCACCGACCCUGCCGGACACCCCCAACUAUACUGAUGCUGAUUUACACUGGAUCAAAUGCUUGCCCAUGACCCAGUGCUUGCGUGGCUGGUGGAGGGCCGCAGACUCCAGCAUCAUCCUGCCAGAGGAAGUAGGAUGGCGAGUCCUAUCCAGAAUGCAUUGAAGUACUCACAUGGGAACAAGGAAGAUGAAAGACCUCAUACGACAUGCAAAGAUCACUAUUAAAGACUCUGGAGCAAAGAUGGAGCAGAUUGUGGCGAGCUGCCACCCAUGCCAGUUAACUAAUGCCACCGCCCAUGGAUCUAACCCUGCUCCGAGGUGACCGCCCAGGAGCCUACUGGGAAGUGGACUUCACUGAGGUAAAACCUGGAAAAUAUGGAU